GUGGGGAAUUUUGGACAAUGGGGGCAACCCUGAUCCAGCGACGCCGCGUGAAGGACGAAGGCCUUCGGGUUGUAAACUUCUUUUGGAGGGGAUGAAUGCCUUGGUGAAAAGCCAAGGGUGACAGUACUCUCUGAAUAAGCCACGGCUAACUACGUGCCAGCAGCCGCGGUAAUACGUAGGUGGCAAGCGUUACUCGGAUUCACUAGGCGUAAAGCGCAGGUAGGCGGUUCGGUAAGUCUUUUGUGAAAGCUCCCGGCUUAACUGGGAGAGGUCAAGGGAAACUGCCGGACUGGAGUGUGGUAGGGGAAACUGGAAUUCCCGGUGUAGCGGUGAAAUGCGUAGAUAUCGGGAGGAAUACCUAUGGCGAAAGCAGGUUUCUGGGCCAUCACUGACGCUGAGCUGCGAAAGCUAGGGGAGCAAACAGGAUUAGAUACCCCGGUAGUCC
rnacentral:rRNA from 1 species